UAGGGAAUAUUAGAAAUGGACGAAAGUCUGAUCUAGCAACACCGCGUGUGCGAAGAAGGCCUUCGGGUUGUAAAGCACUUUUUGGAAGGAUUAGGAAGGAAUGUACUUCCAGAAUAAGUCUCGGCUAACUACGUGCCAGCAGCCGCGGUAACACGUAGUAGGCAAACGUUAUCCGGAUUUACUGGGCGUAAAGCUCGUGUAGGUGGUUCUGUAAGUAGGGCGUGAAAGCUCCUGGCUCAACUGGGAGAGGCCGUUCUAAACUGCAGAGCUAGAGGAUGGUAGAGGGAGGUGGAAUUCCGGGUGUAGCGGUGGAAUGCGCAGAUAUCCGGAGGAACACCAGUGGCGAAAGCGGCCUCCUGGACCAUUCCUGACACUCAGAUGCGAAGGCUAGGGUAGCAAACG
rnacentral:rRNA from 1 species